CCACUAAUCUUGAGAUUAUUUUAUCUCAUCUCCCAAACAAGAUAAAUUAGUCCUAAAAUUAUAAUCCCAAAAUAAUUUAAUCCGCGUACCAAACGACCCGUAAGAGUUACACAGUUUCAAUUUUUUUCCAAUAAAAGGUAAAGCAAAAGCUUUCGAAUAAAAAAAUAAUGUCAUUUUCUUGUAAUUGAUGAAAGAAAUAUCACAUAAACUUGACAAACGGAAAUAGCAGAACUGAAAUACUCAGCUGAAUUGCAAUUGACAAGACUUAGGA